UUCUCCUCUCCUCGCUGCCGCCGCAUCUUGUGCCCCUCCCCUCGUGCUUCCCCUCACUCACUGUGCCUCGUCCUCAAUCUCAUCCGCCCCCACACACCGCUGCACUCGCGGGUAAACCCUAGCUCUGCCACAAGCGCAAGCCGUGACCCCUGCGCUGCGUUCUCCUCUUCCCGACGCCCUCCAUGGGGCAGCAGCGGCGGUCGCUGUUUUCCUCUCCCUCCUCACUAGCAACACCGUGGGCGCAUCAUCGACGGCGGCGGUGGAGCAGCCUCCGCACCACCACACUGUCGAUGUCGGCAGAUCCCCUUUGGUGAAGGCAACGGGGCGCCGAAUCGCCUUCGGUCCUCAAGCACUCGUGGGCGGCUUCGCCAUGGCCGACGGAGAAGCGGUAGACUCCAGCGAGAAGCUCCUCAACGAGCUCGUCUACAAGCAAGAUCUCUGGAGGGACAUAUGGAAAGAACCAUUUCUAAUUAGAGCUAGAGAACGAAUAUUCAUAGCACUGUAAGCAUCAGGAGUUCCAACUAUUCCAUGGAGUGGAUCACAUAAUAGACGACCAAGGCAAUUGAGCCGACGAGAAACCUGUUGAUUUGGACUUGCAGGAGCGUGUCUCAGAUGGCUUGACUAUGGAAUUUAUUUGGUUGAGACAGUUGUUUAUGGUGCCGCGCUGGAUCACUGCUCCCUGUUUCAUUCGCCCAUGAUUCAUGAGGUAUAGUUCUUCCUUACCUUUCUUUGGUAGGCUCUCUUGUAAAUGCUUCCGAUUCCUUGCCCUUGCCCCUUCCCGUUUUUCCCCUUCAGAUUGGUGUUGUCCAUGUUUUUCUCUGUCAACCGUGUGUAGCAUCAUCAUCUCCCGCAGCGGCGGAGGGAGGGCCUCUACGUUGAUGAGGUUUGUGAACCCGGCUUUCAACGCUGCAGAGUCGGGAUGUCUUCGCCAGCACGGAACUUGUACACUCUCCACACCACCCGAAGAGAAGCUUUGAGAAUCAGCCACCGAGAAGAAGCACCAUGCAGCUGGCGAGGUUCCAAACCUUCAUGCAGGGAAAGCUAUUUUAGAGCAUUGGUCGGAGUUACAACAAGAUCAGUGUCGCCCAGAAUUUCCUUCUUGGUACUGCAUGGAUAGAUUUGGUUUGAUAUAUGAUCCAUAUACUUAUUGCACUCUCAGACUACAGUCCAUAUGGUACGCUCUACAUCUUUUACUGGUAUUUGAGUUCCCUUGGGCAUGUGUGACAAUCUGGUGGUACCACUUUGUCCUUUAUAAACAUGUGUGGCAACGGGGACUUAUCCAUGCAGGUUGUUGUGUUUAUUGCACAACGGUUUGCAUCGAAGUGCAAUGAAGGUAAUAAAAAAUGGACUGAAUAUUAUGCACAGUCACCUUCAUAGUGACACAGGAAUAUGCUGUUUGAAAGGUACAUGAGCUUGUUUCAAUGAUAGGCAACAGAGAUUUAAACUUUGGUAAAUUUUCUUGCUCUGAGCGGUGCUUAAUGAUAGCUCAUUGGUUUGCAAAUUUUUCUGCAUUUGGUACAAAGUUUACAUCUAGGUUCUGAUUGUUUUUCUCUAGGACAACCUUCAAUAAAGAUUAUCUUUACCGCUUAUUGCUGCUUUUCUUGAUGUCUGUGAGCAGUUUAUAGUUCUAUUUCCUUCCAGUUUGUUUAGGUUAGAAAUUGAAAUAGGUUUCACAUUACAUCAAAUGCAUGGAUUUAAAUAUAAGCUUUUUAAAGAUCUGUUUCAUACACACACAUGCUGCAGAUUAGCUUCUUUCUGAUGUGGACCUCGGAAGUAGUCAUUGUCUGAUCUGUGUCCAUGUUGUGUGACCGUGGCACCAUUUGGGCCAUGUGAACGAACUGAUCAUGCAUAAAGCUUUAGUGCUUCGAUGAAUAGGUGUACUCCGGCUUGGAAUUGUGCUCAUAUGAAUAUUUAUAUCCAUUCGUUCCAUCUUCUCAUAUCCAAUUUAGCUUUUGUUAAAGAAAGGGUGUUGCUUUUGGGGUUUGUCUAGACCAGGCAUUUCUGAUCAAAUUUCUUUUUUUGUGUGGUUUAUAUUAUAGGUAACAAGCAAGGAGGAAAAUUUUGUUUCUAAAUGCGGUCAGUCUUAUGUGUGUUGCGUAUGAUUCGUAUGGUGGACCUCUAAAAUUAUUUGUAUGUGUGUUAGAUUAGCUCUAUAAAGUAGAGACCAUUCUUUUAAGGUUGAACUUAUUUUGGUAUGUCAAUCAAAACCACUUGAAAAAUGAUCAAUGUCUCGCUUAAAUCCUUAAACCUAAUGGUAUAUUGCAGCUUCAAAAAAACUGAAAGAAGCCUAAAAAAAUGUGUUAUAUUGAUAAAUGUUGCUCAGUUUCACUUUGAUAUGUCCUGUUGGUAUGCAUUAAAGCUUCACUUUUUAUGGGCAGAUCUAAAUAAACUAUCAAAGCACCUUUAUUUAGCAUCUUUAUGAGGUCAGGAAAUUAGAUUUGUUUCAUGCUAAUAGAUGUCCUCUCAUUAAUUAUUGAAGUAGUGCCAAGAACCAAAUAUUUGUGCUCAGAAGAAUUAAGUUUUUUGUUCUCAAAAUGUGUCAUGUGUGGCUUCCAAUUCUUUAUGUCCAUCAAGUUGUUUCAAUGAAGGAAACACAUCUGCUAGGACUUUCUACCAGUAAUUGAUGAUUUGUAGGAGUAGAAAGAGCAUUGUCCUUGUCUCGUUACUUCCAGGUCUAUUGAUUUAAUUAUUAUUUAUACAAAUGGAGGAUUGACUCUUCGGUUGGGACGGCGUGGGCUGUGUUCAAGAUAUGGCAGGCCAUCAACCCGAACGGUGUUCUGAAGUCGAGAUCACAUGCCAAGACAACCAUCAAGGUCACAGCUGCCGACCUCCAAUCGAAGAGAAGCCAUAGCAACUAUUGAUUCAAACCGCCUUCAUCACAACCACUUGCAAACAGAGUCAUGCAUUCUUAGUCCCCGCUGGUGUGCGGCAGUGUAGAUAUGUGUGCUGGGAACAAUGAGCAACCUGAGUGGCACGUACUUUUCCUCUGCUGGUGUGAACGUUUGUGUGUUCUGAGUGGACCGUUGUUUUGUCUGGCUAUGAGAUGAUGCGUUACUUGAUGAAUGGAGUGCUACGGCUGGUUUUUACCGCUGUUAUGGUGUUUAUUGGUUCGAAAGAAGUUGAAACUGCCCCAUAUUCUUGCAA